rnacentral:lncRNA from 1 species
AUUGACAACGUUGUGUGAACAAAACAAACAGACAUUAUGGGUUAAAUUGUCAAAAAUAGGGGUAAAGCAGUCAACAUUGUGUGAUAAUCUUAAUCAUUAUAAACACAAACAAAUAUGUAAUCAAAUAUUUUACCACGACACAAUAUCAAUGACGGGAUGUACAUAGCCACGUAUAUAUGUAACAAAUAAACACAGAAAGAUAUAUAGACUAAGAUUGUUCUGACUGUACUUUAUU